rnacentral:rRNA from 1 species
UACGUAGGGGGCAAGCGUUGUCCGGAUUUAUUGGGCGUAAAGAGCGUGUAGGCGGCUUUGCAAGUCCGUUGUGAAAGUCAAAGGCUCAACCUUUGAAAGCCGAUGGAUACUGCGGAGCUAGAGUACGGAAGAGGGAAGCGGAAUUUCUGGUGUAGCGGUGAAAUGCGUAGAUAUCAGAAGGAACAUCAGUGGCGAAAGCGGCUUCCUGGUCCAGUACCGACGUUCAGGCACGAAAGCGUGGGGAGCAAACAGG